rnacentral:rRNA from 1 species
UGAGGAAUAUUGGUCAAUGGACGGAAGUCUGAACCAGCCAAGUAGCGUGCAGGAUGACGGCCCUAUGGGUUGUAAACUGCUUUUAUGUGGGAAUAAAGUCAGGGACGUGUCCCUGUUUGCAUGUACCACAGGAAUAAGGACCGGCUAAUUCCGUGCCAGCAGCCGCGGUAAUACGGAAGGUCCGGGCGUUAUCCGGAUUUAUUGGGUUUAAAGGGAGGGUAGGCGUGUUGUGAAAUGCAGUUGCUCAACAUCUGCACUGCAGCGCGAACUGUUCUCCUUGAGUGCGCAGGAAGUAGGCGGAAUUCGUCGUGUAGCGGUGAAAUGCUUAGAUAUGACGAAGAACUCCGAUUGGGAAGCCAGCUUACUGUAGCGCCACUGACGCUGAUGCUCGAAAGUGCGGGUAUCGAACAGG